rnacentral:rRNA from 1 species
AUUGAACGCUGGCGGCAUGCUUUACACAUGCAAGUCGAACGGUAACAGGCCUUCGGGUGCUGACGAGUGGCGAACGGGUGAGUAAUGCAUCGGAACGUACCCAGAGGUGGGGGAUAACGCAGCGAAAGCUGUGCUAAUACCGCAUGUGAUCUGAGGAUGAAAGCGGGGGACCGAGCAGCAAUGUUUGGCCUCGCGCCUUUGGAGCGGCCGAUGUCGGAUUAGCUAGUUGGUGGGGUAAAGGCCUACCAAGGCGACGAUCCGUAGCUGGUCUGAGAGGACGACCAGCCACACUGGGACUGAGACACGGCCCAGACUCCUACGGGAGGCAGCAGUGGGGAAUUUUGGACAAUGGGCGCAAGCCUGAUCCAGCAAUGCCGCGUGCGGGAAGAAGGCCUUCGGGUUGUAAGCCGCUUUUGGCAGGAACGAAACGGUGUCCGCUAAUACCGGGCGCUAAUGACGGUACCUGCAGAAUAAGCACCGGCUAACUACGUG